UACGGAGGAUGGGAGCGUUAUCCGGAUUUAUUGGGUUUAAAGGGUGCGUAGGCGGACUGUCAAGUCAGCGGUAAAAUUGAGAGGCUCAACCUCUUCCCGCCGUUGAAACUGGUGGUCUUGAGUGGAUGAGAAGUACGCGGAAUGCGUGGUGUAGCGGUGAAAUGCAUAGAUAUCACGCAGAACUCCGAUUGCGAAGGCAGCGUACCGGCAUCCAACUGACGCUGAGGCACGAAAGCGUGGGGAUCAAACAGG
rnacentral:rRNA from 1 species